rnacentral:lncRNA from 1 species
AUGGCAUUGAAAGCACACAGCACUGGGCCAGCUCCUGUACUCUCUGCAAACUCAGAGUGGAAGACAGGCUCCCUGCCAUGGAGGGACCACAGAGAGACAAGGAGAGUGGUCCUGAGCUUCACACUGAGAGACACAGAGUGGAGUCGUGGCAGACAUGCUAGAGGUGUACCACAACCAAGAUGAAGUGCCAGCUCUCUCAGCAGUAUGGCAUGAUUGAGAUGUCAUCAGACCCUGAUUAUUCCAAAGUUCUUGGUUUUCACUUUCUACUUAAUGAAAAACUUGG